CCUACGGGAGGCAGCAGUGAGGAAUAUUGGUCAAUGGACGAGAGUCUGAACCAGCCAAGUAGCGUGAAGGAUGACUGCCCUAUGGGUUGUAAACUUCUUUUAUAUGGGAAUAAAAUGUUCCACGUGUGGGCUUUUGUAUGUACCAUAUGAAUAAGGAUCGGCUAACUCCGUGCCAGCAGCCGCGGUAAUACGGAGGAUCCGAGCGUUAUCCGGAUUUAUUGGGUUUAAAGGGAGCGUAGGUGGAUUGUUAAGUCAGUUGUGAAAGUUUGCGGCUCAACCGUAAAAUUGCAGUUGAAACUGGCAGUCUUGAGUACAGUAGAGGUGGGCGGAAUUCGUGGUGUAGCGGUGAAAUGCUUAGAUAUCACGAAGAACUCCGAUUGCGAAGGCAGCUUACUGGACUGCAACUGACACUGAGGCUCGAAAGUGUGGGUAUCAAACAGGAUUAGAUACCCUAGUAGUC
rnacentral:rRNA from 1 species